rnacentral:sRNA from 1 species
UUACGUUUUUUAAUCGUUACCAAUAUAAUUUUCGUUUUAUAAAAGUUUUUUUUUAAUAUUUCGGGCGAUUUGGUAUUAUCGCGGCGCGAUUUUAUUAAUUAUAUCGUAAUUUUAACGUUUGCAAUACGCAAAUUAAUAUCGCAAUUAAAUUUAUUUUAAUUUAAUUUAUUUGGAUAAUUUUGGUUUCAACGUUUAAUAUUGCACCGUUUUUUAAAUUUUUUCGCCGCAAAUAUUUAAAUUUAUAGCCGAUUUUAUUUAGGGCGGUUUUUUUUAAUAUAAUAGCGAUAAUAAUUUUGAAAAUUGUAUAUUUUCCCCCGAAAAUUAAACCAAAUUAAAAACGUUUAACCAAAGUUUUUUUGUUUUUUUUAAAAAUUGGAAUUUUUUGGACAAAGACCGGAAAAUAAAUUAAUUUUUUAAUUUUAAAUUAAAUUUGUACUAAUUUUUUCUAAAGUUUUUUUACAAACGUUUUUACGGAAAUAACGACCUAAUAACGUAAUAAAUAAAAAAACGAAAGGAUCGCCGUAUUGCCGUUCGCGAAAAAAAACAACGGAUAUAAACCGUUAUUAAAUUUGCACGAUAAAUUAUAAAAUUAAAUUUUAUUUUUGGUUAAAUCGGCGCGAAAUUAACCAAAUUGGUUAUUAAUUUGCCAACGUUAAUUUUAAUACGGCGAAACGCGUUGCAAAACGCGUUACCGAAAAUUAUUACUAAUUUUAUAUUAUAUUAAUAAUAAAUAAUAAAAAUUAUAACGAUUUAAUUUAUUAUAAUUAUAAAAAGAAUUUAAUUAAAAACGGCAAAUUAAAAUGUUGGAAUUACGGUUAUAAAUAUCGCAAAUGCGAAAUAGUAUAAACGGAGCAAAUUUCCUUUUUUAACCGCGAUUUUUUAUUAAUUAAUUAAAUUUUCCAAUUUUCGUUUUAUAAUUAUCGUUUUUAUUAUUAUUCGUUAAAAUAAAAAUACCAAAAUACGUUACAAAUUUUUUAUUAAUAAUUGCGUUUAUUUUGUGGUUAAUUUUCCUCAAAUUUAGCAAAAUUUCCGCGAUAAUAUAAUUGGAAUUACGGCCGCGAAAAUUAAUAUUUUUUCGAUAAUUUGCGCAAAAGGUUUAAUUGCCCGUAUAAUUAAAAAAAAUUAAAACGCGUAUUUUAAAAAGAUUUUGCGGAAAAAAAAUACCUAUUGCGGUUUAAUAAUAAUAACGGUCGAAUUUAUAUAAUCUUUUUUAUUUUUUCGGACGUUUUAUAUAUUUU